GCCGCCGGUGCACGAAGGUCGUUGACCGGAGCACUUCACUCGUAAUGAAGGGGUCCGCGGUUCGAUCCGCGCGUCGGCU
rnacentral:tRNA from 1 species